rnacentral:rRNA from 3 species
UUGACCUCGGAUCAGGUAGGAAUACCCGCUGAACUUAAGCAUAUCAAG